AUCCAUGGAAACCCUCUACUACUUAGUGUAUUUGGUAUAUGUUGGAGGAUCUAUCAACUGCUUUAAGUAGCAGUUGCUCAGACACCUGAACAUGAGACUCCUGGCUAAACACUGGACAGUGUUAUUGCAGAUAACUGACCAAGGAAGCAGAAGAGAGGCUGAAGACCUUUUUUUUUUUUUUCCUUUUGCAAAGGCAUAUAGCCACAUGAAAUCUCGUCAGAAAAUUGCAGAGAAAUAUUGUAGAUUAAACAAGCACUAAUGGGGAAGAAAACCUUUUCUCAGACGAACUUCAUCUGAUAAUUCCAACGGCCAAGAUCUCCGGGCAGUUUGUGUGGUGUUCAGCAAGAUGUCAUAUUUAUCGGAGCUAUAGAAGACAUUUAUUGCUUCAUACACUGGGAUCUCUCUUGGGAUUCCUAUUGAAAUACAUGCCAUUAAAUCACCUUCAGCAAGUUGCUGCACUGAUGUCCAUGGGGCAUCUGCCAAAAAGCAGAGGCUUAG